NNNNNNNNNNNNNNNNNNNNNNNGGGGGUCCCAGGGGGAUUUGGGGUCCCCCCCGUACCUGUGUGGGGGUCUCCUCCCCCGGCGGGGGGGCGCAGGCGCCGGGCCCAGCUCUUGAGGCGCCGCCCCCAACCCUUGCGGGGGCUGCGCAGGCGGGGACAGAGCCCCAGCGGGAACGGGAGACCCCCGGGAGGGGCGGGGGGCACGGCCUGUGGGAAUAUGGGAAUGGGAAUGGGAACGGGAGACCCCCGGGAGGGGCGGGGGGCACGGCCUGCGGGAAUAUGGGAAUGUGGGAAUGGGAAUGGGAUUGGGAACGGGAGACCCCCGGGAGGGGCGGGGGGCACGGCCUGCGGGAACACGGGAAUGUGGGAAUGGGAUUGGGAUUGGGGGAUUGGGAUUGGGAAUGGGGGAUUGGGAAUGGGAGACCCCCGGGAGGGGCAGGGGGCACGGCCUGCGGGAAUAUGGGAAUGGGAUUGGGAUUGGGGGAUUGGGAACGGGAGACCCCCAGGAGGGGUUGGGGGCACGGCCUGCGGGAACACGGGAAUGGGAUUGGGAAUGGGAUUGGGAAUGGGGGAUUGGGAAUGGGGGAAUGGGAACGGGAGACCCCCGGGAGGGGUUGGGGGCACGGCCUGUGGGAACACGGGAAUGGGAUUGAGGGAUUGGGAAUGGGAAUGUGGGAUUGUGGAUAGGACGGGGACACGAAUGGGAAUGGGAACAGGGACAGGAAUGGGGUCAGGAAUGGGGGAAUGGGAAUGUGGGAUUGGGAAUGGGAAUGUGGGAUUGUGGAUGGGAUGGGGACAGGAAUGGGAACAGGGACAGGAAAGGGAAUGGGAACAGAAAUGGGAACGGGGUCAGGAAUGGGGGAAUGGGAAUGGGAAUGUGGGAUUGUGGAUAGGAUGGGGAUGGGGAUGGGAUGGGGACAGGAAUGGGAACAGGGACAGGAAUGGGAACAGGGACAGGAAUGGGGUCAGGGUACCCCAGGGUACCCCAGGGUCAGCGGGGUCUCAGGUUUGGGGUCACCAAGGUUCUGGGACUGGGGGGACACCAGGGCUGGGAUCAGCAGGGUCUUGGGGGUUUGGGGACGGUGGCCCCUGGUCCUCGAGGGCCACUGGGGUGGGGGACACUCACCUCCGCUCCCGGGGGUCCCUCCUGUCCCCAGGCCCGGGUGACAAACGGCCCCGGUCCCUGGGGGUCACCGGGCUCUGGGGUCACGUCGGGCCCCGGGGGCUCUGGGGUCACGUCGGGCCCCGGGGGCUCUGGGGUC
rnacentral:lncRNA from 1 species